CUUGAAGAAUAAGGAUUUUCUUAGAAGACAAAAGGAAGGGACAGGCAUCAAAAGCAGAAGGAAUAGUUCGACAGAGUGGGGAUGUGAAGACUCAUAGCCAUGUGAAUAAUAGGAGCCAUUUGUUAGCUGCCUCAUAUAACUGGUGUGGGGAUGGCAGGGGAACUUGGAGUCAGAAGAGAUGCACACCAGAAAGGCAUUAUCUAUCCCAUGAAGGCUUAUGGAGUUCAUUCUAAAAUAACUGAAAGCUUUUUGCAGUAAAGAAAUGAAAUAAUCAGAUUUGUAUUUUAAAUGUUCAGAAAAGACUGAAAGGAGUCAAGACUUUGCAGAAAAAGGCUUAGUUUGCCCCCACAAAAGUGAAUACUUCAAUUUUCAAAAUGUUACAGUUGAAGCAGUAAUUUCUAGCUAAAAGAUAACUCAAAGUUCAGAGCUUAAGAACAAGUAGUAUAGAUAGAAGCCAAGGGUAUGUGAGAUUGUCCACAAAGAAAAUGUAAUAUAAGGCCGAGCGUGGUGGCUUAUGCCUGUAAUCCCAGCACUUUGGGAGGCCACUGUGGGUGGAUCAUGAGGUCAGGAGUUCAAGACCAGCCUGGCCAAGAUGGUGAAACCCCAUCUCUGCUAAAAAUACAAAAACUAGCCAGGCAUGGUGGCACAUGCCUGUAAUCCCAGCUACUCAGGAGGCUGAGGCAGGAGAAUUGCUUGAAUGCAUGAAGGGGAGGUUGCAGUGAGCUGAGAUCGUGCCAUUGCACUCCAGCCUGGGCGACAAGAGUGAAACUCCAUCUUAAAAAAAAAGAAAAAAGAAAAUGUAAAAUAAGAACAGAAGGGAAUGAAAUCCUGGUGAAUAAUGCUAAAGGGUAGUUGCAGAAGCAGAAGCCAAAUACGAAAGCUGUGAAGGUUUAUCAAGAGAGAUGAAGAAUCAGAACAGAGAAAAAUGGCACAAAAAUUAAGGGAGAGAAUAAUUAACUUAGAUAUAGUUGUUAAUUCCUAAACUUUUUUUCAGAAACUUAAUGAUAUUUUACCUCAAGGAUCAUGAUAUAUACUUUUUUAUGAGUUCUAAUGUGCUUAUGUUAGUAAACUAGAAUAUAAUUUUUUAUUAUUUCUCACUAUCCAGAAUGUGUUCAAAAUACCCUACUGAUGUCAUACAGCUUUCAUUACAUCUUUUGCAAAUUUCAAAUCUUUAGAAUGAAAAAUUAUCUCUAAAACCAAAAUAUGAUGCCAUAUAUCUUAAAUUAAUCCAUAAACUGAUUUUUUUUUCCAGGAUUAAUUAUUCUUGACAAUACCCCUAUUUAUAUUGAAAUACACAUUUUGAGGUCAGAUGCAAAACAAAAGCUACCUAUAACAAUAUGUAUGCCUUAAAUACUGUAGAGGUUGUAAGUUAUCUAAUGGACUGAUAUUUGAACAAUAUAACACAUCUUGGAACGCCAUGCUCUUAGAGCACUAACUAGAGUUUGAAAUCUUUUCAUGAAAUCUACUUGAGUGGUGCUAAAGAUUUUAUGCAGAAAACUGAAAACAAUUUGCAUAUGGGAGUAACAUUCAUCAGCUAUAUUGUAAAUAUUAUUUGGAGGCAAUCAGAGAGAGACACUUUAAAAUUCCACAUCACUCUGGAGAACCUAAGGCACAGAUACAGAUGAUUUAUUAUGUUUUCAAAAAGUGACAAAAGGGAAUAUUAAUUCUGGAAGAUUUU
rnacentral:lncRNA from 1 species